AAAUCCUGCUCUCUGGUUGCUGAACCAAUGUUCCAAAAUGGAGACUAUUCUGCUAUUUUGAAGACAGCUCACGCUCCCCUUUCACUUCUUGCAGUGAAAUCAGCAGCAGGGUUUUGCACUCUCUGUUAUGACUCUCAUCACAUCAGAUUGAUUGCUGCAGUCUCAGGAUCCUGCAGAAAAUGUGGGGCAGGAAGAAAGUUGUUAUUCAGGCAAAAUUAUCUCCAGUAGCAGCAGCAGGAACCCCGAAUACGCCCAGCAGUGGCAACACCAACAGAUAUAAUGACAAGGCACUGCAAGAAUCUGUGUUCAGAAGAAAAAGAAGAGGACUAUCGUGAGGCACAUUUAAGGAAUAGUGAAAAAUGCUGGUGCAGGAUUAUUGUCCCCUUACUAAGAGCAAAACAUCUCUGCAGAGAGGCACUGGAGCAGAUCUGAGGCAAUGAGUCCACUCCAUUGAAUGCACUGCUAUGUGAUUCUCAACUCCCUCCUUAGGAUUUCCUGCCUUUCAGGAUCCUUCAGGUCUGGCAGCUGCUUUUCCAUUCCCCAGGUACCACUUGAUGCCAGUCUUUAUGCCAAAUGCUCCUUGAGUGCUACUGAUCAGGAUCCCCUGAGUGAGGGGAAGCUGAAUGCAGAGAUGCUCAGGGGCGAGCAGAGGGAAUACCCGCUGUGCUGAAUCCAAAGAAGCGGGAAAGAGCAAACCACCUUUUCCCUCUAUUUUUGUCCUUUGAAUUUGGCCUUUCAAGGUAAAGUCAAGGACCUGAAACCACAUGAACUGCAACUGACCAAGAACAGCUUGUAGAAGCCAGUGUGAACUGGAACAGGCAGUUUUUUCACAGCUCUGCUUACAACUCAUUAAAAGGAACGACCACCAGGAAAUUAUAAUGGACAUGCUCAGGCAAUUUGUACUUCAGCAUCACAAACGAAACACUGUGAAAGAGGGCACCGCAGGCAGGGGAAAAACUCACGUGCUAGAACAAAGGUCCGGGGCUAGCUUUGAACCGGAGAAUCUGCCUGAUUGCACUGACCUGCAACACUAGCAGCACACAAGUGGGCACUGUAGAAAUGUGAAAGAAUGGGGUUGAUCGGCAGCAGCGUGGCCUAUAGCUGCCUACAACACUGGCCUAGGACACCUGGGUUCUCAGUCCCAGCUCUGCCACUUGUCUGGUGUGUGCGCUGGGGCAAGUCGCUUCCCAGGCCUCUGCCUCUGUUUUUCCUCCCAGGCUUUGUCUGGCUUCAGUAUUCAGACUGUAAGCUCUUUGGGGAAAGGGUUCUCUUUUACUGUGCCUAGCACA